CCUACGGGUGGCAGCAGUGAGGAAUAUUGGUCAAUGGACGAGAGUCUGAACCAGCCAAGUAGCGUGAAGGAUGACUGCCCUAUGGGUUGUAAACUUCUUUUAUAUGGGAAUAAAACGUUCCACGUGUGGGAUUUUGUAUGUACCAUAUGAAUAAGGAUCGGCUAACUCCGUGCCAGCAGCCGCGGUAAUACGGAGGAUCCGAGCGUUAUCCGGAUUUAUUGGGUUUAAAGGGAGCGUAGGUGGAUUGUUAAGUCAGUUGUGAAAGUUUGCGGCUCAACCGUAACAUUGCAGUUGAAACUGGCAGUCUUGAGUACAGUAGAGGUGGGCGGAAUUCGUGGUGUAGCGGUGAAAUGCUUAGAUAUCACGAAGAACUCCGAUUGCGAAGGCAGUUCACUGGACUGCAACUGACACUGAGGCGCGAAAGUGUGGGUAUCAAACAGGAUUAGAUACCCCGGUAGUC
rnacentral:rRNA from 1 species